rnacentral:rRNA from 1 species
AGUCGACGAGAGGACAUGGGAAGCUUGCUUCCUAUGAAAUCGAGUGGCAAACGGGUGAGUAACGCGUAAACAACCUGCCCUUCGGAUGGGGAUAACAGCCGGAAACGGCUGCUAAUACCGAAUACGAUCUUUUCGUCGCAUGACGGAAAGAAGAAAGGAUGGCCUCUAUACAAAGCUAUCGCCGAAGGAGGGGUUUGCGUCUGAUUAGCUGGUUGGAGGGGUAACGGCCCAACAAGGCGAUGAUCAGUAGCCGGUCUGAGAGGAUGAACGGCCACAUUGGGACUGAGACACGGCCCAGACUCCUACGGGAGGCAGCAGUGGGGAAUCUUCCGCAAUGGACGAAAGUCUGACGGAGCAACGCCGCGUGAGUGAAGAAGGUCUUCGGAUUGUAAAGCUCUGUUAUACGGGAUGAAAAAGACGGAUGCCAACAGUAUCCGUCCGUGACGGUACCGUAAGAGAAAGCCACGGCUAACUACGUGCCAGCAGCCGUGGUAAUACGUAGGUGGCAAGCGUUGUCCGGAAUUAUUGGGCGUAAAGGGCGCGCAGGCGGUUCGGUAAGUCUGUCUUAAAAGUGCGGGGCUUAACCCCGUGAGGGGACGGAAACUGUCGAACUUGAGUGUCGGAGAGGAAAGCGGAAUUCCUAGUGUAGCGGUGAAAUGCGUAGAUAUUAGGAGGAACACCGGUGGCGAAAGCGGCUUUCUGGACGACAACUGACGC